ACCGGCAGCUCAAGUGGUGGCCAUUAUUAUUGGGCCUAAAGCGUUCGUAGCCGGUUUGAUAAGUCUCUGGUGAAAUCCCGCAGCUUAACUGUGGGACUUGCUGGAGAUACUAUCAGACUUGAGGUCGGGAGAGGUUAGGGGUACUCCCAGGGUAGCGGUGAAAUGCUAAGAUACUGGGAGGACCACCAGAGGCGAAGGCGGCUCUCUAAAACAAUCCUGACGCUGAGUCUCGAAAGCCAGGGGAGCAAACGG
rnacentral:rRNA from 1 species